CCUAAGAUCCUGCUUUAUGGGGAACUCGCCACCGGCUGCUGCAAGAGAGGAGCCCCGAAGAGGAGAUACAAGGACUGCCUGAAACAACAUCUCAGCCUUGGCCACAUUGAUCUUCAUCACUGGUCUGCUCUGGCCUCCAAUGGGGAGGUCUGGAGACACCCCAUCUAUAACGCUGCUGAUGCCUUUGAGAACGCAGCAGGGUCACCCUGGAGGAGAAAAGACAAGGCAGAAAGAAUUAUGUCUUGCAGAAUUUACUACCUAAGGAGUCUUUCUGCUGUGCCUUUUGCAACUGGACAUGUCUAUGUCAUAUUGGCCUCAUUAGCCACCAGCGUGUUUGUAACAAACAUGGGGAGAGCCCUUCCCAAAUCUUCGUUUGCAAAGCCCAGCCAUGAUGAUGAUGAAACCACCCCACAGGUGAAGUGGCAGGUGAGGCAGACAGUUCUGCCAGUCUCUGUGAAACACCAGCCACAGCCACCCUCUGCCUGCAGCAGCACUGUGGCUCUUUCUGAGCUCCAGCUGCUGCUGGUGCUGUGCUCUGUGACACUGCUGGCAAAUGUUUCCUUCCUGCAGCAGCGUUUGUUCAGGCCACAGCUCUGUAAACACUCAUGUAGCAACUGUGUCCGAGUUGGCUGAAAUUAAUGGAACUACACAAAGCAAAACACACACAGGAGCCUCCCAGAACAGAAACCUGCGGGUUGGCAGUGGUGUUUAUUCACAUCCACUUCACCACUGUGGUAUACAAUCAAAGUAAUUAAGAAAACGAUGGGUAAGAUAAUGCUCAAGGGUGGUUUUUCCCUUUUUAUGCUUAUUUUAACAUAAUGAAUUUAGUGGAGUCUGUGAUAAUCUUUUUUUUUCAACUACAAAAUGCCCGAGUUUGAGGGGUGUUGAUUAACCUGACCAGCCCGACAUGCUCAGCCUCAGUUUCACUGCUUGUUGCAGAAGUGAAAAGCAUUUGUCUGGCCAAAGCCUGACCUGCUUUGUCAAACUGUCUCUAGGCUGUUAACACCUCCCAGAAUCACAGAAUGGUUUGGAUUUGAAGCGACCUGAAGGAUCAUCCAGUUCCUCUGCCUGCCAUGGGCAGGGACACCUUCCACUGGACCAGGUUGCUCCAUCCUGGCCUUGGACACUUCCAGGGCUGGGGCAGCCACAGCUUCCCUGGGAAUUCCAUCCCAGCCCCUCCCCACCCUCACAGGGAGAAAUUCCUUCCCAGUAUCCCACCUAACCCUGCCCUCUGGCAGUGGGAAGCCAUUCCCCCUUGUCCUGUCCCUCCAUCCCUUGGAAAUAGUCUCUCUCCAUCUUUCCUGCAGGUUCCCUUCAGGUCCUGGAAGGCCACAAUUAGGUCACCCCAAAGCUUCUGUUCUCCAGGCUGAACAAUCCCAACUAUCCAGCCUUCCCUCCCAGCAGAGCUGCUCCACCCCUCUGAUCACCUGGGUGCCUCCUCUGGACUCUCUCCAACAGGUCAGUGCCCUUCCUGUGAUGAAAUCAUAGAACCAUGGAAUGGUUUAGGCUGGAAGGAACCCUAAAACCUAUCUCACUGCACCCCCUGCCACAGGCACGAGCACCUUCCACUCCUCCAAUCACAGACCUAAAGGCUGACAGCUUUAUUUGGGCACUAUCUGGGUAGGUAUGGAUUGAUUUGAUUCCUUUAUUUUAUUAAUUUCCCCCUCUUUGUGCUUCUGUGGGUCCAUGGCUGUGCUGGCCACGUGAUAGGGGCACAUGAACACCUGAGGAUCCCAAUAUUUCCAUGGGAAAUGCAAACACAUGUUUAAUUCCCACUGGAUUUCAGCUCCAGCACUUUUAUUAUGCCAGCCCUUCAGCUGGAGCUGUGCCCUGCAGCUCCAGGGCUGCAGCAGAAAACAGAGCUCCUGAAUCUUUAUGGGAAGUCCAACAAACUGGUGAAUACUGAAAAACUAGGAGGGAAGAAUGGAAGUAGAGCUGCCACUGAUGCUGAGGUGACUCCUGAGGCAGCAGGAGGGGGGGAAGCUGUCUUGGAGCGUUAUUAUCACUUGACCACAUGGAUGAAGAUGGCAGGAAGCUGCAACACUGUCAAAACACCAAAAAAAAAAAGGCAUCUACAGAGGUGCAAAGUGGUCAGUCCUGUCCUGUGUGACACUUUCUUGCUGCCAGGGGCAAAUAUCCAGUGGGAAAUCCAGCGCACAGAAGUUAUUUGGGAACAAAACACAGCAGCCAACAUGUUGCUCCAUAAAAUUUCUGUUUUCCGAGGCUCAGUAAUUACAGUGAGCAGUUCCCAGAGUGCACAGACAAAAGGGAGUGCAGUGAGAUGGCACAGCCAGAGUGGCUCCUGUUCCAUCCUUUCCAAACAUUUUGUGCAUCUGUUGGUAUUUGAGUUCAGAGGGACUGAUCCAGCACCAGCUGAUGCUGAUGAAAGGAUAUUCAUUAUCUUUAGGGGCUUCUGGAUUAGCAUCAGAUUUAUUAAACCUUUCAGCCAGGGCCUGGUUGGCCAUUUGGGGGUUGAAAGCAUCUUGUGUCCACAAGUGUCUUAAUUAUAAAUUAUCUACACUGUCACAUGUUUGAUAUUUUGACAGGCUUGAGGACUCUGGGAGUACUUUAGUAGGUGGAAAGGUGUCUAAUACUGAAAUGGACUUUCAGACAGGAGUGUGUAAUGGUCUGCUUUUCAACUGAAGAAAAUGCUUGAUGUAUUUUUGUAUUUUUAUCCUCUUGUAAUGCAUCAUCUGGGGCAUUUAAGCCUAAGUGUGUAGAACAGGAAUUGUUCACACAAGAUGAGAGGAGCUCUGGACAUACAGGCUCAGAUCCUGACUCUGCCUUCACUUGACUAAGUCCUAAAAUCUGGACUGUGUCUGCAAAGUAUGUAUAUUAAUAAUUCCUUAUACAGGGGGAAUAUUAUGAAACCCUUUAUGAUUUUAAGAUCCUUCACUGGUAAAUGUGAUACUGAAAGGGUGAAUGGAAAAUGGAAAUAUAUCAGAUAUUCCCUGACUUUUUCAAGAACUGCUUUGCAGAAUUUAGCCUACAGGGUAACUCCCCAUGAAAUUUAUUAUUCACUUAAAUACUGCAUUGCAAGAUUGUUCCAGCUAAACAAAGUGUCCUACUGCUCACUAUCAGAGGGAACAGUCUGCUGCAACUACUCCAUAAUUGUGCUACUAAUGUAUACUUUAUUAAACUCCUGCUGUUUUCUUAACUGCUUUAUCUACUAAAAAUAGUCUGAUUAAUAAAAUGGAUGUCAGAUGUAUCCAUCUUUAUGCAUUUUCCCCAUGGAAUUAGACAGUACUAAACAGUAAUUUGGAUUUUUUCUUUUCCUGUUAGUGUUAAGCAAUGUCAGUUAUUCUCUGCAGUGGAUUGCUGGGAGGAUAUUGCAAAUUUGAAUUCAAUUCAGGUUGGCAGCAAUGAGAAUUCAGGUGUUAACUGGUCUGUUGUGUCAUGGCAACCAUGGAACACAUUAGGAUGCCACUGGCCCAAGUGAACCCAGUCUGGAUGAAGGCCCUUUUCUUCAGUUUUAACCUCACAAAAUCUGAAAAUGAACGUGCUUGGGAAGCCCCCCUUAAAAUCACAUCA